AUUGAACGCUGGCGGCAUGCCUUACACAUGCAAGUCGAACGGCAGCACGGGUGCUUGCACCUGGUGGCGAGUGGCGCACGGGUGAGUAAUACAUCGGAACAUGUCCUGUAGUGGGGGAUAGCCCGGCGAAAGCCGGAUUAAUACCGCAUACGAUCCACGGAUGAAAGCGGGUGACCUUCGGGCCUCGCGCUAUAGGGUUGGCCGAUGGCUGAUUAGCUAGUUGGUGGGGUAAAGGCCUACCAAGGCGACGAUCAGUAGCUGGUCUGAGAGGACGACCAGCCACACUGGGACUGAGACACGGCCCAGACUCCUACGGGAGGCAGCAGUGGGGAAUUUUCGACAAUGGGCGAAAGCCUGAUCCAGCAAUGCCGCGUGUGUGAAGAAGGCCUUCGGGUUGUAAAGCACUUUUGUCCGGAAAGAAAUCCUUGACUCUAAUACAGUCGGGGGAUGACGGUACCGGAAGAAUAAGCACCGGCUAACUACGUG
rnacentral:rRNA from 1 species